rnacentral:misc_RNA from 1 species
GCUGGUUCCAAAACUUACUUGCAGGUCAGUGCAUUUUAUAGUUGAAAAUGCAGCAUUUACUUGGGUUGGUUUUUGGUGUUGGUAGUGAUGUUAAUUAGUAUCGUUUUAUUCGGAUGAGCUAGAUCUUGUUGAUGAUGAUUCUUAAUUAAGUUGUUCUAACUUUUUUAGCCACUAAAAUGAUAAUGCUUCAACUUUUGCUAACAAUUUGAAACAUUAGAUGAAUAUGUUGGAUUUUUGUGACGUGAAAUUGUUUGUAAAUAUGUGAAAGAGAA